AAUGGGAAUACGAAAGUCUUUUUUCUGUCUUGGCAUCGACAUUAUUUAACGUACGUGGCAUUUAAUUUGCGAUUCUCAAAAGUUAAGCUGAUAGUCAUUAGAAAGAAAUUCUUUUAGGAUUAGACGCUGCAAACUACAAUGCCGUGGCGGAGUUCUGAGUUAAUUAUUUCCUUAGCGGUCGUUAUGAAACAAUUUGCUUUCUUAACUGCGGAAUCGAGUACCGAAGAACCGAUUACGUUUGAUCAAAAAAUCAAUAAUUUUUUAAGUAAAGCUGCCCAUUCUAUUGUGUAUAAAUCGAUGGCAGUGUUGAUAUCAACUCAAAUCGAUACAGAUGAGGAAAUUAAUGAAUCUUACUCGGAAUCAGAGCAUCCAGUGGGUGAUCAAAUCGGUAGAAUUUUUCAAAUGAUGAGUGUGGUUUUGAUAGUUGGAUGUUCGGUCAGCUUCAUUCUAAUACCGUUAAUUGCCGCAUGUGUAUUCAACUGCUGUGGAUUUACCAGAUCUGGCGUUCGCCCUAACUCCUAUGCUGCAUUACGUCAUUCCAGAAUUGGCAACGUCAACAGCGGAACACCUUUCGCCGAAAUGCAGAGAAGGAGCUCUUGUAAAACCUGUGGAGAAAAUUACUGUUGGAUAGUAUUACUGCUGGGCAUUCCUGCUGGAGUCAUUUUUGGAGUAAUUGCAGGCGUCAAUACAUGGCCUUACAUGUA